UACGUAGGGUGCGAGCGUUAAUCGGAAUUACUGGGCGUAAAGCGUGCGCAGGCGGUUUUGUAAGCCAGAUGUGAAAUCCCCGGGCUUAACCUGGGAAUGGCAUUUGGGACUGCAAGGCUCGAGUGCGGCAGAGGAGACUGGAAUUCCUGGUGUAGCAGUGAAAUGCGUAGAGAUGUGGAGGAACACCGAUGGCGAAGGCAGCCCCCCUGGGCUAACACUGACGCUCAUGCACGAAAGCGUGGGGAGCAAACAGG
rnacentral:rRNA from 1 species